rnacentral:rRNA from 1 species
UACGGAGGGGGCUAGCGUUGUUCGGAAUUACUGGGCGUAAAGCGCGCGUAGGCGGACCUGCAAGUCAGACGUGAAAUCCCUCGGCUUAACCGGGGGAACUGCAUCUGAUACUGGAUGGCUUGAGAUUGGGAGAGGGAUGCGGAAUUCCAGGUGUAGCGGUGAAAUGCGUAGAUAUCUGGAGGAACACCGGUGGCGAAGGCGGCAUCCUGGACCAACACUGACGCUGAGGUACGAAGGCAUGGGUAUCGAUCGGG